rfam:Hordeum vulgare subsp. vulgare, WGS project CAJW01000000 data, contig: morex_contig_2273247
UUAUUACUCCCUCCAUCCCAAAAUUCNUGUCUUAGAUUUGUCUAGAAAUGAAUGUAUCUAAAUACCAAAAUGUGACUAUAUACAUUCAUAUCUAGACAAAUCUAAGACAAGAAUAUUGGGACGGAGGGAGUAUAAA